CAUUGGACCCCGUGCGCUGAAAUCCCGUGAACGGGUCAGACGGGGAACCGAGCAGCCAUAAACGAAGGUUUCAGGUGCUGCGGGGGAUCUGAUGCGG
rnacentral:SRP_RNA from 1 species